GACAGAGGGUGCAAACGUUGUUCGGAUUCACUGGGCGUAAAGGGUGCGCAGGUGGGUUUGCAAGUUCGAUGUGAAAGCCCCGGGCUUAACCCGGGAAUGGCAUUGGAUACCGCAGAUCUGGAGGAUCGGAGGGGGGACUGGAAUUCUUGGUGUAGCAGUGAAAUGCGUAGAUAUCGAGAGGAACACCUGCGGCGAAGGCGGGUUGCUGGGCUGACACUGACGCUGAGGUGCGAAAGCGUGGGGAGCAAACAGG
rnacentral:rRNA from 1 species